AUGGGGGGCGCCCUGGGGCCCGGCCCGCAGCGACCAGGCCUUCGCCGGAACGGGAGGAAGAUGACACACUGCCUCCCACCCCGCAGCUCCGAAACCUCGGUCCAGGCCUGCGGCUACCGGGGCCUGCCGGGAAGGCGGAAGAAGCGGCGCCUCCCGGGAAACCUGAGCCAGCGGAAAGGAACGCCCCGGGCGCGCACGGUCCGCAGCCGGUGCGCACGCGCGCAGCGCCGCUCGGAGGGGCGGUGCCGGCGCGAUUCCCGCCCCUGCCUGGGAAGCCGCGGCUACCUCGGAGGUAGCCGCGCAGGUGCGUUAGAGCACCGUAGGACAGGUGGCCCUGAAAGUCUUGUACCCAGAACACGUCAAAAUCUGCAGGGUGCAGAAAACCUCCUUUCAACUGUAACCAGAUCGUCCAGUUGUCCCGCAGGCUCGUGCUUUAUCUCUGUUUUCUCGAGGAUGCUGGCAUACCUUGAGCUGCAGACUCUUAGAGCUGAAGAUGUAAGAAAGGUGCGCACCCUGCAACGCACCGGGCACCUUUUCUCUGGUCGGGUUUGCCUUCUCUGCAGCCUGUCUCUUGAAGUGUGUGUCCCUGCGCAUGAUGGAGCUUGUGGCAAGACAUACUUGCUCAUAGUCUUCAGCAAGGACCAGUUCCUAGAGGAGGAUGUGUUCACGGUGUUUGAGAACUAUGUGGCAGAUACCGAGGUGGGUGGAAAGCAGGUAGAAUUGGCUAUGUGGGAUACAGCUGGGCAGAAAGAUAUGACCACCUGAAGCCCCUCUCUUAGCUACACACUGAGUUUAUACUGAUGUGUUUCUCCAUUGACAGCCCUGACGGUUUAGAAAACACCCCAGAUGGACCCCGGAAGUCAAGCAUUUCUGUCCCAAUGUGCCCAUCAUCCUUGUUGGGAACAAGAAGGAUCUUUGAAAUGAUGAGUACACAAGGCAGGAGCUAGCCAAGAUGAAGCAGGCGCCUGUAAAACCUGAAGCAGGCAGAGAUACAGCAAAUAGGAUUGGCGCUUUUGGGUACAUGGAGUGUUCAGCAAAGACCAAAGAUGGAGUGAGGGAGAUUUUUGAAAUGGCUAUGAGAGCUGCUCUACAAGCCAGACGUGGAAAGAAAAAAUCUGGGUGUCCUGUCUUGUGCUUUGCUGCAAGCACAGCCCUUAUGUGGUUAAUUUUGAAGUGCUAUUUAUUAAUUUCAGUGUAUGAUUACUGGCCUUUUUCAUUUAUCUAUAAUUUACCUAAGAUUACAAAUCAUAAGUCAUCUUGCUACCAGUAUUUAGAAGCCAGCCAUGAUUAUUAGUGAUGUCCAACCAAUCUGGCCCACCAGGGUUUUUCUGACACUGCUCUAACACCCCUUUUCUGCACUCCGCCUGACACACCAGGUGUGCUAAUUCAAGGAAUUUCUUAAUAACUUCUUACUUCUUUCUAGAAAGAGAAACAGUUGGUAACUUUUGUGAGUUAGGCUGUAACUACUUUAUAACUAACAUGUCCUGCUUAUCAUCUGUCAGCUGCACGUAUUCUGAUGUGUCACCACUUUGGAGCUUUUCUCCUUAACAGAUUUCAUUGGCAUAGCUCUGGGGUGGGCAUCCAGUUUCUUGAAAAUGUGCUCAGCAAGAAAGGCCCAAGUCCAUACAGCUGUGGCAGUUACAGUUCUGUGGUUUCAUGUUCGUUACCUUAUAGUUACUGUAUAAUUAGUGCCACUUGAUGUAUGUUACCAAAAAUAAAUAUAUCU